ACUUGAGCCACGCUAUGUCGGGCAGAGACGGUGGUAAGAAGAAACCUCUGAAGCAACCGAAGAAACAGGCAAAGGACAUGGACGAGAUUUGGCCUUCAAGCAAAAACAGAAGGAAGAGCAGAAGAAACUUGAGGAGAUGAAGACAAAAGCUUCUGGGAAAGGCCCCCUUA